rnacentral:rRNA from 1 species
UAAUACGGAGGGUGCAAGCGUUAUCCGGAAUUAUUGGGUUUAAAGGGUCCGUAGGCGGCUAGAUAAGUCAGUGGUGAAAUCCUGCAGCUCAACUGUAGCAUUGCCAUUGAUACUGUUUAGCUUGAAUAUGAUUGAAGUGGGCGGAAUAUGACAUGUAGCGGUGAAAUGCAUAGAUAUGUCAUAGAACACCGAUUGCGAAGGCAGCUCACUAAGUCACAAUUGACGCUGAUGGACGAAAGCGUGGGGAUCAAACAGG